GACGAACGCUGGCGGCGUGCUUAACACAUGCAAGUCGAACGGGAGUAUCGAAGAAGCUUGCUUUUAGAUACUUUAGUGGCGGACGGGUGAGUAACGCGUGAGGAGCUGUCCUAUGCAGGGGGACAACAGUUGGAAACGACUGCUAAUACCCCAUAAGCCGAGAGGUAAAAGGAGCGAUCCGGCAGAGGAGGUACUCGCGUCCUAUCAGCUAGUAGGUGAGGUAACGGCUCACCUAGGCGAAGACGGGUAGCCGGCCUGAGAGGGCGAACGGCCACACUGGAACUGUGAUACGGUCCAGACUCCUACGGGAGGCAGCAGUGGGGAAUAUUGGGCAAUGGGGGCAACCCUGACCCAGCGACGCCGCGUGGGUGAAGAAAUCCCUCGGGAUGUAAAGCCCUGUUGUAUGGGAAGAGCAGAAGACGGUACCAUACGAGGAAGCCCCGGCAAACUACGUGCCAGCAGCCGCCGUAAUAC
rnacentral:rRNA from 1 species